CUUUCCGUGAUAUCACCUGGCUCACAAACAUUAACUGAUGAGUAAUGGAUGUUUCAACACAUCACAGGUCCGGGUUCGGGGGUAUAUAGUAAUAGCAAAUUUCGCUUCCAGACUAUUGAGUGUUGCCAAGUCCCAAGUUGAAGAUGCGUCCUGUGUGCGUCUUUCUCCUGGUCUUCAUUCUAGCGGCGCCGACCUCGUCUUUCUUGUUUCGCGUUUUCCGUCGCCGACGUCGUCGUCAUGUUAUCGUGGUAAAUCAACCGUACCCGCCCAGCCCCGUCUACUACUAUCGUCGUCGUCGUCGCUUUUGGAAAAGAGAUGCGGUUGCCGUCGAGCCGGACGAGGACGCAAUACAGUACGCAAACAGAAACCUCAUCACGGAAAGAAACGCUGAUUUUCCUGACGCAGGGGAAUAAGGUGAAGGACGCACCCAGAAGUCUGUACUCAGCAGCCGCUGUGUCCGUCACAGCUGAAUAAAGCAUUUAACAUAC